UUUCAAUUAAGUUUCUUUUAAUAAAUGAGGUCUUUCAGAGUAAUGAGUCUCUUUACCGGGCAUUUUAUCAUGUUUGUUAGUAACGUCUCUAUCCUACGGGAACGGGGUGUUACACAAACUGUGAAACUAGGCUCUUGGAGCCUAUUUGAGGCCAUAAAGGGCUUUGUGAAGUCUACACACAUAAUUUGGAUAAUGGGAGUCUACAAAACCUUUUGGUUGUUCCAUGUAUACUUCCUCAGAAAGUUGUCCAUGCAAGAAGGCAUUUGAAACAUCCAGUUGUUUAAGUGGCCACUUGAACUGAAAAGCUACUGCCAAGAGAAGUCUUAUAGUUGCUAGCUUGAUAACAGGGCUAGAGACCAAGUUUUGUUUCCCAGCAAGGCAUUGAAUUCACUCUCCAUAGCAGCCAUCCAAAGGGAAUUUGAAGAAGCCUGAAGGAAGGUAGUGGGCUCACUAGGUAAUGAAACUGCAAUAAGGGCUUUUAAUGGGUGCUUGGCUGAAUAAUAUAAUUGAAAAUCUGAAAAGUCUUUGGGUUUGAGAUUGCCAGUUUGGGACCUAGUGAUUAUACGAGAUGAUGGUUGUUCAGGAGGUUGGACUUGGCUUAGAGAGGUGGUAUUUGUGGAUGGUAGAGUUUUUAAUGUAGGCUGAGAUUGUUGACCAAGUAGUUCAGGAAGUGUAUUGAUCUGUGAAGUGCUCUCUGGUGAAUUACUUGAAGAAGGCAUAUGUAUUGCAUGAGAAUUUUGAGAAGAAAUGCUAUCAUUUAUAGUAACACCAGAACAAUCAACAAUAGAAUGAUCAAUAUGAAUUUGGGAGUCAUUAACAAGAAAUAUACUUGGAGGAGGAUGGUUACUGACAGAAGAUCCAGAAAUGGUCUUGUCCAGUGAAGGAAAUAGAAGUUCAUCAAAUAUCACAUGUCUUGAGAUGAAUAUCUUUUAGGAGAUUGGAUCAAGGCAUCUGUAACCUUUGUGACUGGAGCUGUAGCCAAGGAAAAUGCAUUGCUUGCUGCGAAAUUCAAGUUUAUGCUUGGUAUAUGACCUAAGAUAGGGGUAACAUGCACAACCAAAGGCUCUUAAGUGAGUGUAAUCAACUCUAAGGUUAAACAAUUUGGUAUAUGGGAUUGAGAACUGAAUGGAUGAAGAGGGUAAUCUGUUUACUAGAUACACAACAGUUUGACAGGCUUCAAGCUAGUAACUUGUAGGAAGUUUGGAUUGAUCUAAGAGAGUGAGACUUGUUUCUAUGAUGUGUCUAUGUUUUCUCUCGGCAAUGCCAUUUUGCUGAGGUGUAUGUGAACAUGAGAUUUUAUAAUGAAUUCCAUGAGAAGACAGAAACUUGAUGAGAUAAGUAUUCCCCUCCUCCAUCAGUUUGAAGUUGGUGAAUCUUAAUGGAAAGUUGGUUCUCAAUGAGACAUUUAAACUUAGCAAAACAAAUAAAGGGGUCUGAUUUCAAUUUAAAAGGAAACAACCAUGUAUAGCUAGAGUAGUCAUCCACAAACACAACAUAAUACUUGAAUCCAUUUAUUGACAUGAUUGGUGAGGUCCAGAUAUCACUAUGAACUAACUCUAAAGGUGAGUUGGUUACAUGAGUUGACAUUGGAAAGGGCAGAUGCCUACUUUUGCUCAUUUGGCAAGAAUUACAUAAGGUGGAUUCUUUAUUGGUUCGGGA